rnacentral:tRNA from 1 species
GCUAGUGUAGCUCAGUUGGCAGAGCGUCGGAUUUGUACCCCGAAGGCCGCCGGAUCGUUGCCGGCCACUAGCUCCA